rnacentral:rRNA from 1 species
AGUGAACGCUGGCGGUAGGCCUAACACAUGCAAGUCGAACGGCAGCACAGUAAGAGCUUGCUCUUACGGGUGGCGAGUGGCGGACGGGUGAGGAAUACAUCGGAAUCUACUUUUUCGUGGGGGAUAACGUAGGGAGACUUACGCUAAUACCGCAUACGACCCACGGGUGAAAGCAGGGGAUCUUCGGACCUUGCGCGAUUGAAUGAGCCGAUGUCGGAUUAGCUAGUUGGCGGGGUAAAGGCCCACCAAGGCGACGAUCCGUAGCUGGUCUGAGAGGAUGAUCAGCCACACUGGAACUGAGACACGGUCCAGACUCCUACGGGAGGCAGCAGUGGGGAAUAUUGGACAAUGGGCGCAAGCCUGAUCCAGCCAUACCGCGUGGGUGAAGAAGGCCUUCGGGUUGUAAAGCCCUUUUGUUGGGAAAGAAAAGCAGCAGGUUAAUACCCCGCUGUUCUGACGGUACCCAAAGAAUAAGCACCGGCUAACUUCGUG